GGUGUAAAGGGAACAUUGUUGUUAUUAUUGAAAACACGAUAGGUCACAAAAACAGACACACAAAGUGCAGCUACUGAUAGUACUAGUGAGAAGGCACUGGCAAUACUCCAUGAAGUACUUGACCCUGUUGAUCCUGAACUUCCAUGCAAAGAACUGCCGAUAGAUAUAUCGAUGGGAACCCAAUUGCAGCUGAUCGAGUAGUGCCCGGAACCAUGCCAUGGUUGACCGUUUUCUGGAUACCAGAAUGCAACGGACAUCAUACUGGUUGCACCAAUGGUAAAUUGCACAUCCUGCAAGAUUCAAGUUGUCUGAGUUAUUAUAUACAAAUGAGAAGUGACAGAGUUAGGCUAUGCUUAGAAGAAUGUAAAUGAAGGGAGAUAAGGAGUGAAAGACACAAAGCUAACGAAACCAUGUUUUGAAGUAUUGCUUUUGAGGGAAGAGUGGCAUGGCCUGUGAGGGGCAACCUGUCCCUUCCUUGCCAUCCAGAAACUCUAUUUGUCGACCCUCCAAAUCGGGUGGUCAAGGAGGAACACACUCGUAAAAUAAUUCUUGUCAUUUUCUUCUAUCAUAAACAAUGUUAAACAACCAAACAAAAGACUAGCAUGAUCUUGUUCAUUCUAGCCAUUCUUUUCUCCACUCUUCAUAGAACUCCCAAAUAUAUCCUUAAAUUUGACUACUGCUUCUAUAACCAGCAGAUCACAAAGAAAGGGCAUGGUCUAAAGCAUAAGUUUGCAUAAAAGCAUUCUUAAAUUAGGAAGUUAAGAACAAGGCCAUAUUUGUUUUCCAAAACCAAAGUUGUUUCAGAGUUUAUUAACUUA